AUUGAACGCUGGCGGCAGGCUUAACACAUGCAGGUCGAGCGGAGAUGAGGUGCUUGCACCUUAUCUUAGCGGCGGACGGGUGAGUAAUGCUUAGGAAUCUGCCUAUUAGUGGGGGACAACAUUCCGAAAGGAAUGCUAAUACCGCAUACGUCCUACGGGAGAAAGCAGGGGAUCUUCGGACCUUGCGCUAGUAGAUGAGCCUAAGUCGGAUUAGCUAGUUGGUGGGGUAAAGGCCUACCAAGGCGACGAUCUGUAGCGGGUCCGAGAGGAUGAUCCGCCACACUGGGACUGAGACACGGCCCAGACUCCUACGGGAGGCAGCAGUGGGGAAUAUUGGACAAUGGGGGGAACCCUGAUCCAGCCAUGCCGCGUGCGUGAAGAAGGCCUUAUGGUUGUAAAGCACUUUAAGCGAGGAGGAGGCUACUGAGACUAAUACUCUUGGAUAGUGGACGUUACUCGCAGAAUAAGCACCGGCUAACUCUGUGCCAGCCGCCGCAGUAA
rnacentral:rRNA from 1 species